GGAUUAUUCAUUUAAUUAAAUAUACUCAUCUUAAAUGAAUGCAUAUUAGUCUAGGGGCAGAUUUGCAAUUUCCUGAAACUAAUUUAGUGAUAAUAUAUGAAAUUAGGGUGGAGUUAGUUAGUGUGCCAAAUAACAGGGACAAUUUGUGCCAAAAUUAGAAAGACCGAGUCUUCAUCCCCAUCACCAGGUGCAGGUCUCGUUUGUUCUCUUCUUCCCCAUUAGAACCGAUCCAAAAACGAAUCUUGGAAACGAAGUGGUCCAAAUUCGUCAAAGGUGAGCCUUUGACUAAAUUGAUGAGUCUCUUUCAAAUCCUUUUGACUGGAAAUCCCGGAUUUAAGGCUAUUAAGAUGAAAUUGUCGGCAUUGGAACUUCACCACCAAGAACCACCACACUAUGCUCACUGUUCAGUCGAGUCCCACCCCUUUCUCCUUGCUAGAAACCGCCAUCCCCACCCCACUGCCGCUGUAGGAGCUCCUCCCUCCACCACCACAACCCAGCCACCCAUCUAGUGUUCAAUCAAACCCACCCUCCAAUCACCCCUACUGUGUUCGUUUUGGUUUCAUUGUCAAAGAAAAAAAAAACAAGAUACCAUCACCACUAAGAGUAGCCGAGAACCAUCUUCAUCUCAAUCAAGAACCAGCAUCGGUGGUCUUGAACCACCGUGUAGCACCACCAGACGCCAUCCAACCUCAUCCUACCUCCUACUGCCAUUGCCAUUUACUUCCGAAGUCACCACCACCGACGACUCCGCCACUGUUUCUGCAUUCGACCGCCAUCGCCGCCUCCAUAAUUUAAUUUCCAUCGUUGAUGAUGCCAGCCAAGACCAAGAGACCUAACGAGAAACCUGAUUUCCUUCUUAACGGCACCUGCAACUCGUCAAUUGCAAGAGACGGGUAAUUUAAAUACAACCGGUGAUUCGUUUUAAGAGCAAGGAGCGUCACGAAAUGACUUUCACGACAAGUUUCAGCCUCGAGAUUCGUCCACGCUUCAAGGGGUAUCACCAAACGAGCUUUUAGAAGAGCAGUCAUGGAUUUCAGACGACCUUGAUUUAUCUAGCUUUUGUUAAAUUGGCCUAUCUAUUAAGGCAACUUUAUGAAUUUCUUAUUAUGAAAUUUGUAUUCAAACCUUAAAGAGUAAUGUAAUUGCUAUGUAUUUAUUGUUGUAAA